CCUACGGGGCGCAGCAGUGAGGAAUAUUGGUCAAUGGACGCAAGUCUGAACCAGCCAUGCCGCGUGCAGGAAGAAGGUGCUAUGCAUUGUAAACUGCUUUUAUACGGGGGUAAUUACAGAUACGUGUAUCUGGAUGAAAGUACCGUAUGAAUAAGGAUCGGCUAACUCCGUUCCAGCAGCCGCGGUAAUACGGAGGAUCCGAGCGUUAUCCGGAUUUAUUGGGUUUAAAGGGUGCGUAUGCGGGCUUUUAAGUCAGCGGUAAAAAUUCGGGGCUCAACCCCGUCCGGCCGUUGAAACUGGGGGCCUUGAGUGGGCGAGAAGAAGGCGGAAUGCGUGGUGUAGCGGUGAAAUGCAUAGAUAUCACGCAGAACCCCGAUUGCGAAGGCAGCCUUCCGGCGCCCUACUGACGCUGAGGCACGAAAGUGCGGGGAUCGAACAGGAUUAGAUACCCGAGUAGUC
rnacentral:rRNA from 1 species